GAUGAACGCUGGCGGCGUGCCUAAUACAUGCAAGUCGAGCGAAUGGAUUAAGAGCUUGCUCUUAUGAAGUUAGCGGCGGACGGGUGAGUAACACGUGGGUAACCUGCCCAUAAGACUGGGAUAAAUCCGGGAAACCGGGGCAAAUACCGGAUAACAUUUUGAACCGCAUGGGUCGAAAGUUAAAGGCGGCUUCGGCUGUCACUUAUGGAUGGACCCGCGUCGCAUUAGCUAGUUGGUGAGGUAACGGCUCACCAAGGCAACGAUGCGUAGCCGACCUGAGAGGGUGAUCGGCCACACUGGGACUGAGACACGGCCCAGACUCCUACGGGAGGCAGCAGUAGGGAAUCUUCCGCAAUGGACGAAAGUCUGACGGAGCAACGCCGCGUGAGUGAUGAAGGCUUUCGGGUCGUAAAACUCUGUUGUUAGGGAAGAACAAGUGCUAGUUGAAUAAGCUGGCACCUUGACGGUACCUAACCAGAAAGCCACGGCUAACUACGUGCCAGCCGCCGCCGUAA
rnacentral:rRNA from 1 species